UGGAGCCCGCCCCCACACCACAGCGGAGAUUAGCGCCCCUCCCCUCCCAGGGGAGGACAGACUGACAGGAAACCAGAGACGAGGCUGGGUAUUGGCGGGAGGGGGGCUGAAGAGACCAUCUCACACACCCUGGGCAGGUGGCUUCCGGGACCCCGGGCCUGCCCUUCCCCCAUGGCACCAGCUCCAGGGGAUGAUUCAAGUGUCUGAGACUGACUCAGGGCACAGAGUGACUCCAGGAGGCAAGGACUCCCUCUCAAGACCUUCACCCAGCGAUGACUCCCAGCUCUGCUGGGUCUCAAACCAGAAGAAACAGAACAAGGCCAGAGACACAAUCAAGGAUGAGGAAGGGGCCAGGCCUGGGAUGAGGAUGCAGAGACAAUAAGAACCACCCAGCUGCCUGCUGCCUGAGUUCCUCGUGAUGAGAGAAAUUAAACCCUGGAUGAUGGUCAAUGGCCGAGAGAAGAGGUGGCUGAGAGAGGAGGCCUCUCUUUGUGGAGGAGACAGGAGUUCAAGUGGAUUCUUCAAACUCUGCCCCUUUGUGGUGCCUGGCUUCACUUGCAGAGUUACUCCUGCCCCAGUUUAAACUGCUACAAAUAAAUUGUGUGUGUGUGUGUGUCCCGAGAGCUGGCGAUCCCUCAUCAGCCUAACUCCUUACUCCCAACAUCAGGACCACCAAGCAGAGGGCAAAACUAGGAGGCAGGAGACUAGAGGUCUGGUCUGCCUGCCCCACCCCCCCUCUGCUGUGGCUAUCUGCAGUGUAACUUUAGACCAGUCACUGAAUCUGUCCCCCAACCCCCAGCCUUUGUUUCUUCAUCUACAAAAUUGAAGAGGAGGUUGACCAGAGGACCUGUUUAUACUCUAG
rnacentral:lncRNA from 1 species